rnacentral:rRNA from 1 species
UAUCUGAUGCCUAAUCCCGCAUUAGCGGGAGACAUUGUGUGGUGGGUAGUUUGACUGGGGUGGUCGCCUCCAAAAGAGUAACGGAGGCUUUCAAAGGUACCCUCAGCACGCUUGGUAACCGUGCGUAGAGUGCAAUAGCAUAAGGGUGCUUGACUGUGAGGCCAACAAGCCGAUCAGGUAGGAAACUAGGAUAUAGUGAUCCGGUGGUUCCGCAUGGAAGGGCCAUCGCUCAAAG